rnacentral:rRNA from 1 species
GACGAACGCUGGCGGCGUGCUUAACACAUGCAAGUCGAACGGAAAUGCCCUGCUUUUGUGGGGUUCUCGAGUGGCGAACGGGUGAGUAACACGUGAGUAACCUGCCCUUGACUUUGGGAUAACUUCAGGAAACUGGGGCUAAUACCGGAUAGGAGCUCCUGCUGCAUGGUGGUGGUUGGAAAGUUUCGGCGGUUGGGGAUGGACUCGCGGCUUAUCAGCUUGUUGGUGGGGUAGUGGCUUACCAAGGCUUUGACGGGUAGCCGGCCUGAGAGGGUGACCGGCCACAUUGGGACUGAGAUACGGCCCAGACUCCUACGGGAGGCAGCAGUGGGGAAUAUUGCACAAUGGGCGGAAGCCUGAUGCAGCAACGCCGCGUGCGGGAUGACGGCCUUCGGGUUGUAAACCGCUUUCGCCUGUGACGAAGCGUGAGUGACGGUAAUGGGUAAAGAAGCACCGGCUAACUACGUG